rnacentral:lncRNA from 1 species
AUUUACUGCUGAGUACAUAUAUACCAUGCAUAUAUUCACUAUAUACUCGUAUAAUUGAUUUUCAUAUAAAUUUUGAAAAGAUUAAGUUCGAAAGUGAGAUUUUUAGUUGGUUGACUAGUUGAUCAUGUAUAAGGCAAUGUGAAAGAAUUAAAUACGAAAAGGCUAAUUACACUUACUUCGACUGAAUAUUCAAUAUAUAUAUAUAUAUUUGUGGAGCUAAUUCGAAAGUGAAUGGCUGUCUCUCACCUACACCAGUACUUGUAUUUAAAAUUUUUACAAAAUCAAUUGUUGUGAUAAAAAUAUCAUUUUUUUCCAAUUUCAAUGUUAGACACAUCAAUUUAAUUUCUAAAAUGUACGUGAGGAAGAAGUUAAUAAAUAGAAGUAUAUCUCUACUUUCAUAUAAAUUUAAUGUAGGCAAAUUGAAAAGGCUUUCUUAUGACGUCACGUCAUUGUAAACGUUUACAUUUCUUUGUUCAUUGCUAAGCGUUUAUAAGAUAUAAUCAAACUUCAUUUCUAAUUUAGAAUAAUCAGGACUAACAGAAGCACUUUUUACACAAACGUUCUUUAACAAAUUUGUUAUUGUAUAUACGUCUUUAUUUUGACGUAGAUAUGUUUCAAUUUUUAUAACCUUUUGAAAAGCAGAUCUCUUAUAUACAUAUAUAUAACAUUAAAUUAGCACAAAAAUCUCGAAUUAACGUUUUUCGACCAAUUAACAUAAUAAAAUAUUCUAAUGUAAAUAAUACUCCUUAUGGUAUAUAAGACUAUCUAAGGUUGAAAUAUGAACGAAAAAACAAAAUUAAUUGCUUUUUUGAAAUCUAUUUUUACUGCUACUUGAAAGAAAUGUGUAUUAAUCAUUAAGGAAAACAUGAUGUUACUUUAAUUGGCAUUAUAUUUUCAUGAACAACUGCUAAAUUUUCAUAAUAACAAAAUAUGUUAGUGUGCAGAAUAAGUGAUCGACCGUGGAUUCCUUUCAGUGUAUGUCAACGUAAGCUUACAUAUAUUUAAAUUUGGAAAAGUUACAAUGAUAACAUCAGUAAAGUUUCUUUGGACUCGAAAAAAAAAACAAAAUGUUUCAAGGUAAAAUAAAGCACGCCGUUAAAAACUUACGUUCAAAGAGAAUUUUUAAGCCACAUGGUUUCCCCUAAGUGUAAAACAGUUGAAAGCACUUGACAAUUUUGAUGUGAAAUUUUCCAUGAUAUUGGUUUACAAUUUUGAAGUUAUAUGGCUAAUCUCUUGAGCUGGUAAAAAAGAAACAUAUAUAUAACUAUUCGGGCAAUACUUCCAUAGUCUUUCUAAAAACUAUACAAAAUUUUGAUUUUAGGAUAAAUAAAGCAUAUAGUAAAAGAAAAAAUAAGUCUUAAGUCGGCAUUCAAUCAAGUCGUUGUAACCGUUGAAAUUUGGAGAACCGGCCAUUGCCUUGUAUCUAAUGCAAAUACAGUAUUCAAAAUAAGUGACUACAAAACCUACGCACGAUGAAAUAGUCAUUCUCCUUCAUUUAUUCAAACUAACUUCAAACCCAAUAGCUCAAUUAAGAAAAACAGUAACAGUAUAUUAUAGAUACCCGACAGGAAAAUCGCUUUUUGGCAGUGAAAUUAAAAACAAGACAAUCCAUUCUAAUUUAUAUGUUCUAGUCACCUUUCUGAUUAAAUUGGAUUUGAUAGCUGUGUACGUAUUUUCAUUGGAAAAUAACAAUAGACUUUUCAAUGUGUUAGUAUAAAAAAUAUGAUCAGCAAACUUUAGUGUAAAAUAUUUAGAGAUCUAUUCGAUUACAUUCAGUACAGAAGAGUUGUAGUAGUUUUUCAGACGUUCGUAAAGAUACUUCCUAGGGGUCAGUGUACUUAGCGCAUACUAUUCCUUCUGAUGAACCUUUCAAGUCAACUUCAAAUAUUCAGUUAUCCUUUAAUAAAUGGCGUACUUUCUCAAAUAUCCAAUUUGAACGAGUUGACUCUUUCAAAAACAAAAGUGCAUUAUGCGAGUAGUAUUACCAAAAUGACAUAUUAUAUUUUAGAAAUUAUUAAAAAAAUGUGUGCGAUUCAUCAUAUCAUUCCCCUUUUUAGAAACAUAACAUAUUAACAAACACAUCUGAUAUUUUAUGAGAUUGAAAUGGUAUAUUCAGCUGUAAAUACCUUCACUCAAUAAAACGAUUUUUUUAAAUCAACAAAAUAUAAAAUGAAAGUGAUUCCAUGAUAAAGCAUUUACAAAUAAUUUAUAAAUAUCUGCCCACAUAUAUUAUUUGAUUAUCUUGCACUUUUAAAAGGCGUCACCAGCUUUGUCAUUUUGAAUAAUGAGUUCGAUACCACAGUAUCUAUACAAUAACUCAUUAUACAUAUUUUCAUCAUUAUAAACGGCGCAACAACUGGUGUCCGACCUAAGCUGGCCGACUUGCACAGAGAGAAAGUCCGAUCUGGUAGUGAUGAGCGUGGAGUGAAGUUCUAGACUUAUGAAACCAUCCAGCCUACCAUGAUAGCAAGGCAUAUCUUGUGGACGGUUCCCAGCAAAGUGAGAAUUCUAUAAUUACUGCAUUGGAUGAUAUCUCCCUAUUUAACCACUUCGGUUGGAAUUAUCUCGGCUGUCAGCGACGUAAGCCAACGAACUGCACGAAACGAAACUUGUACUUCUCGAGGUCAAAGGCUUGUCUGUUUUCUUAGGCUUCGUUUUUGUCUGUCAAGUCGCUUCUCUGCUCAGCGGAAUCAGCGUCAAGUCUUUGUACGUGGCUGUGUUCUUUAUGAUUAUUAAACUAUCCACUCUGCAACAUACUUCUAGUCGUUCUGACUUUUCUUGCAACUGUGGCGUAACCAUACCAACGAUAAAGUUCUUCAGGUGUUUGGCUGGUUGAGCCUUUAUUGAUUCUCACCUGAUUUUGAGAUGUUUUCGUUAUUUGAGCUAAGAGCACUAUGUCAAUGAGAUGGUAACAUUGAUCAAGACGAGGAGGUGGCGGUGUUCAAUUAACAUAUAGUUAAUUUGAGUGAAAGUACAAAAAAAGAAAUAUAUACGCCGGCUCAGACUACGCUUGACAACCGAGUAACUAUUCGCCUAAAUUGAAAUCCAAUUGUUUGACCUUCUGUAAGUAGACUAAAGGCCGGGUGGUUCUUAUCCUUGAUAUAAAGAGAAAUUCGUUUCUGUUAUGCUAUGUUAUGUUUUGAUAAUUUCUACCUUAUUGCCAAAUAAUAAUUAGUCUUGAAAUUAAUUUAACAAUACACUCUUAUGGUAGCGAUAGACAGGCAAGGUUAACCAUUCAACUGGUUACUCUAUUGAAUGGUUUGGUGAAUGGCGGCACCGCCUCUCCCAAACGAAUAGCAUUAAGUGCAUUGCAUGCAUAACAUGAUUUUUCAUACAUCGUUUUCUUAGAUUAUCGUCUGGUGUUAGUAUGCCCUAAACGGGCGUAGAUAGCGAUCGAGAGAUUUCAUGUCCAUUUUUCUUUUCUCUGCUAUAUGUAUGCCUGAUGUAACCGACUUGCUUCACCUUGUUGAAUACUUUUGCCAAUGUAGGUACCGAAUAAGUAACAUUAUGCUCUUUACAGCAAGCUUACCGAAAAUUUCUUACAGGGGGAACAUUGCUAUGCGCAUCUUCCACUUGCAUUAUUGCGCCAUUUGAAUACGCUAUAAAUGAGCGCAGAUAUCAAUAAGAAGAGCCCAUCUUUCAUUUUUCCUUUUCUAAAAUAUUUUUGUAUGUACGCCUUUAUAAUACUGAUGAAAUGCACUUACUUUUGUUUUUGAUCAUGACAUGCAAAGUGAUUCAUUGUAGUUAUAACAUCCCGUCAGAGUUAUCGUAAUGAGAACUAUUUGUGUACUAAAUCAGCAUAAAAAGUAACUUAUCGUACUCCAGUGAUAACG